CCCUCACAGCCACCGAGGGCCAGCCUGCUCACCCCUCACAGCCACCGAGGGCCAGCCAGCUCACCCCUCACAGCCACCGAGGGCCAGCCAGCUCACCCCUCACAGCCACCGAGGGCCAGCCUGCUCACCCCUCACAGCCACCGAGGGCCAGCCUGCUCACCCCUCACAGCCACCGAGGGCCAGCCAGCUCACCCGUCACAGCCACCGAGGGACUAAACAGUUGAGAGAUCAGUGAAGAGAAAUGAUGGAGCAGAGGGGUAGCUAUAGCUACGAGCCAUGGUGUGUGUGUGUGUGUGUGUGUGUGUAUGUGUGUGUGUCACGCCGUGGGGCUCGGAGAGACAUACUAUUCUCCUCUUCACUGACUAAUUGGCACACACAGGAAGAGGCCAACCCCUGGUCCAUUGGUUAAUUUAGGAACCUGGGACUCAUUCAGGCCUACUAAUCUAAUGACAUUACUAUGCGUUACUGACUGACUGACUGACUCGUGCUACACACUAACCUGGUACUCUUCCUUUCAGCUCUGGCCUGGUAGGCCUCCUACUCAGUGUGACAUAGCUACUAGAUAUAAAAAGUCCAAACUCCAUGACCCUCUCCCUCUGGGUAAUUUUUAGGAUAUUCAUGGCCUCGGCUUCACUUUGCCUGUUCUGACAGGGCUUGUGCACAAAAAUAACCCCGACAGGCAGGCAGUAAGAAAAGGCAGGUAGUAAGAAAAGGCAGGCAGUAAGCAAGGCAGGCAGGCAGUGAGAAAAGGCAGGCAGUGAGAAAAGGCAGGCAGUGAGAAAAGGCAGGCAGUGAGAAAAGGCAGGCAGUAAGAAAAGGCAGGCAUAAGAAAAGGCAGGCAGUAAGACAGGCAGGCAGUAAGACAGGCAGGCAGUAAGACAGGCAGGCAGUAAGAAAAGGCAGGCAGUAAGAAAAGGCAGGCAGUAAGAAAAGGCAGGCAGUAAGAAAAGGCUC
rnacentral:lncRNA from 1 species